rnacentral:sRNA from 1 species
CAAAUAGUACUCCUGAUGUUAUCGCAACCUGUUGAUAACAAAAUGGUUAAACGUUUGCGCUAGCCGCGCGAUUUUCUGCACCUGGUGUCAGGUGUCAGGCGCUGUCUCACAGGGUCGGGAAGGGAUGAUUUCGUCCGAAAAAGUGACAUGCAUUGCUGGCUAAAUGCCGUUUUGCUGAUGUUGCGCAACGGAAUGGCGGAUUCUAGCAAGGCUGCGCCGAGAAGACGAGAUUUUUACGGUUAACUGUGGGAAAAUUAUCAGGCUUAAUUUUAAUAAGGUUAUUAAGGGGCAGCCAUGAGUACCGAUCUGAAAUUUUCACUGCUGACCACGGUUGGCGCACUGGCGAUGAUCAUUGCUUUCAGCUUUACCGCCGUCAUGCACUGAGCC